rnacentral:rRNA from 1 species
AGCAGUAGCCGCGGGAAAACGGAGGGUGCAAGCGUUAAUCGGAAUUACUGGGCGUAAAGCGCACGCAGGCGGUCUGUCAAGUCGGAUGUGAAAUCCCCGGGCUCAACCUGGGAACUGCAUUCGAAACUGGCAGGCUAGAGUCUUGUAGAGGGGGGUAGAAUUCCAGGUGUAGCGGUGAAAUGCGUAGAGAUCUGGAGGAAUACCGGUGGCGAAGGCGGCCCCCUGGACAAAGACUGACGCUCAGGUGCGAAAGCGUGGGGAGCAAACAGGAUUAGAUACCCGCGUAGUCCCUGUCUCUUAUAC